UACGCUGACGUCACGCAUCUGAGCCUCCGGUGGGAGGAAACCCGGAAGUAUCGCCGUGAAUCACAUGAGAGUUGUGAAUGCGAUGUUGUGUAUUAGGCUGUACAUAAUAUUAACGGAAAGAGAGUGAUAAUAUAUAACCUUUCAUCGCUUCCGAAGUGACUAAAAGGGAUAUUGGACCUUAUUUUCAGAUUACAGACAACACGAGAGGGUGCUUCAAACUUUUUAAUCAGGACUGCAUUGUUUGUUCGCUCCCGGGGUUACAUAGACUGAAACGAGGAAGUGUGACGAGUUUGUUUACAUGGUGCUGUAAACUUCAACCCAGGAGGACACUUCAAAGGAAUCAAGGUGUCUGUGAUAUUGAAACACUAAAGGAAGAAGAGGAGGACCACCAUUCGUUUCCUGAGCAGAAAAAAAAAUAAGCAUG